CCUAUGAAUAUAUUCGAUAUCAAAAUAAAAUAGCUCAACUGAGGAAUUUUGUCAUGGAUAUAGGCUUUGAAGAGAAAUGUGUAUUCCAACUUUUACAUUUUUUUAUUUAAUUAGACUUAAUACUUGUAUUAAUACAUGCUUGCAUUGUUUCAUUCAUUUGAUUAAAAUUUGCAACAAUCAAUUGUAGGGUAAUUGGCAGGGAAAUUGUUGCCUACCACGUUCCCUCUGGCUUUUACAAACAAUGGGCGGUGGCCUCUGAGUCGAAAGACCUGAUCCUCCAAUCUCUUCCACGCACGCAUGCAUGUGAGAACUAGGAAAAAUAAAGUUUAAUUAGUAAUAUGAUCAAGUGACUUUCCAUAAAAUGAAAGAAAAAGGGGCCAAAUUUAUUAACAAUAGAAGAUCCUCAUGUGCAUUUCUGCCCACUCCGAUUUGGUCCAUGAGACCAUGACUGCACAAGAGCAAGUCCUUUAGGUUUGACUCAAGGGCAGGGGCAGCCUUCCUUUUGCACCCCCAAUAAGCUAUCUUCAUCGUAUCCUUUCCCUUACGAAAUUUGAAUGCGUAGUCUUAUUUUUUAUUCUACUUUCUAAGAUUUUGUUUGAUCAAUUGCUGAUCUUGGUGAUUAUUGAAAUUGAACACACCAUCAUUAAGACCAGCUUAUGAUUUGCCACAGCCCUCAAAGGUAAAAACUCUAUUUGACAACAGUCUUGGGUCCAUGGCCAUUCUAGGAUUGAGCUGCUGCUCAUUAUCUUGCUUUAAUUCUUUCCAAGCAUGGGAAAGAUUGGGACCUACAAAUACAUAUUUCCUUUAUGUCAUAGAGUUGGGCUAAUCAAAGUACCCAUAUCAUUUAUAUAUAAAAGAGAAUAAUAUUAUACACAACAACAUAGAGAGCGUAUCAUUGUGAUAUAACAUAAUUACAUAAAUAUAGCUAGACAAAUAGGGUGAAAGAAUCGAUUCUUAACUAAUCAGAUGUGUACAGUUAACGACGCAUGUUAAAACAAGCGGAGGGAGGGGGAAAAAAGGGAAAAAAGAAUUGAUCAACAACAGAUCAGACAGUUAAAACUACCGAAUCAAAUGAACUAAUGCAUCUACUCCAUGUCAUCUUCUUUUGACAAUAUAUAUAGUCCAAGUUCUUGCAACUCCAAAAGAACCUCAUCUGCUUUUGGUCACUCUUUUAAGAUAAAGAAGCGAAGUAGUACUAACAAGCAGCCCCUUAUGACCAAAAUAUGACACCACACAGGCUCCUUAUUAUGCAGGAAUUGCACCUAAUGUAUAAUGUCAAAAUGCAGAAAGGAGGUUAUAAUCAUAUUAUGUCCUUAGAAACCUCCUUCACUCAUGCCUUUUCUUGUUUACUCUUUCCCAGUUCCUAGCUCUAAGACGAAUGUGAAAUGGGGCAAAAGGGCUGCUCUUAGUCUUAGGAUUUCUCUUUCCUUGUUGCUUGAAUGAUUUCUUCCUAAUUCUUUCACUCCUAGUUAUUCUCCAAGGACUGCAUUUAACCAUCUAUGAGCUUAAAAGACAGAUUCCUUUUCAGUCUGAUCUUUCAUGCCUCACAUUUUCUGUAAAAAAAAGAAAAAAGGAUAGGUACCCAUUAUAGAUAACCAGCGGUUUAGCUCUAUUGCAAAAUCUGUUUCUUCCCCCUGCCCUCUAAUCUACUGUUCUAUUCACUUCUUUCUGUGAUCUGCAGAGCAAAUUUUCAUUGUUUUUUCCAUUGGAUUAAUUGUUUAACAGCUCCUUUCUAUUGAGUUGAUGAUACAUCAAUUUAACACUAUCACAAUCAGAUGAUGGGUUAAUCUUUUUUCCAUUAACAGUAUCACAAUCAAAGCUACAUCCACAAGUUGGGCACUCACGGAAAUUAUCAACAUAAAAAUCAGAAGAAGCAAUCCCAAUUGAGAAAUUCCAUUGGCAGUCUUUCUAAGGGCAACUUUCAACAAACACAUGGACUAUAACAGCCUAUUAAACCAACAAUAAACAUGAAACAUCAUAUGUAAAAAGGAUCCACUUCAAAACAAAUGAAUAUAGAAUAAAGAGCCAACCAUGUGAUUGAAAAAUACCGAGUCUUCAGAUGAGAAAAUUUCUUCAAAAACUAGGCCUGUGAUUUGGAGGAAGAACUUGAUACCUCGACCAAGUUGGAAAACUUUGUCGAGCCGCUCAUCAUUCGGAGGAGGAAAGAAGUUUCUGGUGGCUUUGGUGGAAAAAGGCCAUGGCUUCUCCUUGGAGCUGGAGUGGCCUGCC
rnacentral:lncRNA from 1 species